rnacentral:piRNA from 1 species
GUAGCUGGUGUGUCCGGAAUUGGUGGGU